UCAAUUGAAAACACUACAUUUUUUCGAUGAAAGUAUCAAAAGUAUAUAGUUAUAUAUUACAUUUUGUAACUUAAAACAGAUCUUCAAGAAAUAAUAUACUAUAUGAUGAUCUAAAUAUUUCAAAUUCUAUUUAGCUCUAGAUAAAUGCACUACCGAUCAGUAAUUUUAGAUUUUGCAAAAAAGCUUUUUCACGUAUGUUUGUUCAAUGGAAAAUCAUGUAAUGAUCACGUGGUAUUUAACCAUUAAACGCAGUACUUUGUUUAAAAUAUAAAUACAAAAUGAAUAAAUGGUUGUGACCUCACAAGCAAAAUAGGAUGUAUGGAAUCAUCAGGAUCGGUUGGCAAGACUACUAAUUUAUCAACAGGGCGCACAAGUGUACCCUGGUGGGUUUGAACGCGCACUACACGUACAAUUUUAUCGGGUCCUGCCCUUAAUGCCGUUAUUCUACCUAAGUGCCACAUCAAUGGGGGACACGAGUUAUCUUUACUAAUGACCAUGGCGCCUACGAGACCAUUUGGUUGAUCAGUUAACCAUUUAGCUCUUUGUUGUACAGUGAACAAGUAUUCCGAUGACCAACUAUGCCAGAAAGCCUGAUGACAGUAGUCCAAUAAUUUCCAGCGCUCAACUAAAGAACGUGGUGCGUCGAGUUCAGUACUCGGCGGAACAGCAAGUAACGAUUGUCCUAUAAGAAAGUGCCCUGGCGUGAGGCAAUCAAGAUCAUGCGGAUCAGUGGAAUUGGGAACCAGAGACCGAGAAUUUAGAACGCUCUCUAUUCGAUAAUUGACGGUGGUGAAUUCUUCAUAUGUAAACAUAUUACGCGUAUUAAUAAUUGCUUUGAUGAGCGAACGGCGGACUCCCAUAAUCCGGCCAUGUGCGCACUCGAAGGCGCAUUGAAAUGCCAUUCACACAUGGGCGUCGCUGCCGCUAUUUUAAUUUGAGACGCUGCGCUAUUAAUAAGGUCACGUAGCUGUUUAUCAGCCCCGAUAAAAUUUGAUCCGCAAUCUGAAAAAACUUGGGCUGGUAGGCCCCUACGAGCGACGAACCGAUCGAAGGCGGCUAAAAAAGCUUCAGUAGACAAUUCCGUCACGACUUCUAGAUGUACCGGCUUUAACGGUGAAACAAACAAAAAUAGCUAAAUAUACCUAAUAAGUAUGCGAUUUUCUCAGCCUUAUUUCGCGCAUUUGAAUGGCGUAAUCGAUACCGACGCGCCUAAAUACCUGACAUUCUGUAACACGCGUAGACGGUAAGUCAGCCAUCCGGGGUUAUGGAUUUACAGCUGUAUUACGUUGAGCAUCGACUAAUAACUUUAUGUAUGACUGCCCGUCCCCACUGAAAAUCCAAAAUCGCCGCGUAGCUAGCAUAAGCAUAACCCGUGGGCCUGCAUGACAGCUAUAUUCAUGAUACCACCUAAAUAUAAGUAAGACCAAAUGAGACCGUUUAGCUAAAAGUAUCGGAUGUUUUUGCUCGUAAGAUAACGACGAAUGGCACAAACGUGCCAUAGGUGUAGAAGAUGUACAGAGUCCAGCUACAAGUUCAUUUUUUAACGCGGCAAAAAAACAUUGUUACGAAUCAAUCACUAUUGCUCGUAACGACGCGUCGAUUUCCUCUUGAGUAAUCGCGAGCGC